rnacentral:lncRNA from 1 species
UAGCCCCAUGCAGAACAGUCCCCGGGGGCCCUAAGAUGGGAAUACAUGGGUCCAAGUACAAUGUAGAGAUGGUUUCCUGCUGCUGACAAAGCAUCGCGGAGCCUGGAGUCUGAAGUCUGGAGAAGGGACUUGGCCUCAGCGUGUGGUGAUGGAAGGAAAAGAGUGGGCCUUUAAGAGGCCACUUGCUGCCCGCCUUCGAAAGGAUUGUGAGGCUCCAGGCCCUCUGGAGCCACUUCCUGUUUUUCAGGGUGUGAUUUCUUCUUCCCCUCUCCCAUAAAGUCCUCACCAGAGCUAAGUUAUUGAUAACACAAUAUCUCUGACUCUCUAGAGCUGUGACCUAAGUUAUCUUAUUUUCUUUAUAAAGGAAC